GCAGGCAGAGCUCAGUGGUAGAGCCCGUGCUUAGCAUGCAUGAGGUCCUGGGUUCAGUCCCCAGUCCCUCCA
rnacentral:tRNA from 1 species